CCUAGCUUUUUUUUUGUCAUUUGAAUAUUUGAUUCAGUUUCAGAUUUUAUAUUUUCUGCUUUAUUUAUGUAAUUUUGUUGUACUUCAUUUUAAAAGGUACAAUCAAAAUGUCUUGUUGUGUUCCAUCUUGUGCACAUAAAGGGGAAAGUACUUUUGGUGUACCCAAAGAUAUAGACCAGUUAAAUUUAUGGAAUGUGAGGAUAGGUAUAGAUUUAAAACCAUCCUCAAGAGUUUGCUCAAAUCAUUUUGAUCAUAAGGAUGUUAUAAAAACUUGGGAAUCAGGACAAGGUACCAGCAAGUAUACAGUAUGUUUAAAAAGAGCAAGACUCUGUGAAGGAACAAUUCCUGAAAAUAUAACCUUAGGUUUAGGUUUGAAUAAUUCAUUCAUAUAUGUAGCAACACAGGAAUGGAAUAACACUCCUUUGACCAAAAAGAGAAAGGUACAAGACAAUUUAAAAUUGAGCAGUAUACAGCAAGACCAUUGUUAUAGUGUACAUCAAGGUACAAUUAAUACAUCUAAUAUGUCAACUGUUUUGUAUACAAGUGAUACUUCAAAUGAUAAUUCGACCAUAUCUCCAACUUCUGAGUAUAGUAUAAUAGAAUCCAAGUUAUAAUUUAUGAUCUACAUAAAUUUGUUAGCUUCUAUUUUUACUCAAAUUGUUAAAUUAUAUUAUCAUAAAUAUUGAUACAGCCAGUUACCACUACAUUAUUUAAAUCUGUUUUGGAAAAAACUAAGUUUACUUACUGUUCCACCAAAAUGGUUCACAGAUAAGUUAUCAUCCUAAAUAUGAAAAAAAUAGUUGAAUUCCAAAAAUUAUGUUUAUUUAAGGAUGAUUUUUCAAGAUUUAUUGAAAAGCAAGUAGUUUUAACAAAAGAUUUCAAUGUGUUUAUUCAUGUGAAUGGAAAAUAUAUUGAUUUACCACCUAAUCAUAAGCCAGAGAGCGUUGAAGAUCUUGAAAAUAUUAUUUAACUACUUGAAUCUACAAAAGUAUGUAUAGGAUUAGUGUCUUCAGAUAAACUUAUAAAUAUAAAAUCAACAUUUGGUUCACAAUUUGUGGAAUCAUUUAGUCAGUGGAGACAUUCAAAAUGUUCCAUGAUACUCAGACCAAAUAGUAAAAGGUAAUUAGAUUAAUAGGUAUGUAUAUUUUAGUAUCAAACCAAUAUCGGUAUUAUUUAAUUUUAGUAACACAUGUUUAUGGUGUAAACGCCUUUGGUAUUGUGUUAAAAAUAAAAUCUAUCGAUCAAAUACGAAAAUAUGUUUUUCGCCCAACAAAAAGAAAAUUUUAGAAAAACUUAAAACUAGAAAUGCUGUGAUGAGAAAAUAUUUCAAGAUUUGUUAAAAAGAAUGUUCAAUUACUUAACAAAUUAAAUGAGCUUCAAACUAAAAUGAAAGAAAUUUCACAUUCUAAUCUCCAAAACAUAAUAGAGAAUUCCAAUAUUCCAAAAUCACAAACAGAUUUAAUUUAUGAAAUAUUAAACGCUUCAAAAAUGAAAAAUCCAUAAAAUAGAAGAUACAGCGAGAAUUGGAUGAUAUUAUGUUUAUUGUUUCAGAUCAGGUUUUACAUUUUUAUAUAUUAUUGGUAUUAAUAAAUAAUAAUUUUUAUUUCUUUUAUAUUAUGUUAUAGAUCUCCUAGCGGUUAUACAUUUUUAAGGAAUUGAUUGUGGUUUUGAUCCUAAUUUAUUUAAAUUAAUCAAAAAGAAAUUUUCAGGAAAAAAAGAUCAACAAAAAAAAGGAAUUAUUCUGAUUGAUGAAAUGUUCUUAAGAGAGAGGAGCUUGAGCGUUAAUAGUCGUACACUUUCAUAUAUUGGGUUAGAAAAUUUUGGCAAGUAGAAAACAAAAUAAGCAGUAGUAAAAAAGCCAACCAUAGUCUAGUAUUUAUGUGGCAAAGUUUGGCACAUAAGUUUGAACAACCAAUUGCGGUUUUUGCGUCAAACGGUCCAAUCAAUGGUGUUGAUCUUGCUAAAUUGAUAAUUAAAGUAAUUUAGUAAAUGGAGGAUGAUGGUGGACAUGUAGUGGGUAUAACUAGGGAUGGAGCAUCGACUAACCGAACAAUGUGGAGUACAUUAGGGGUAAACAUUUAUGUUACCUACUUGGUAGUGAAUAAAUUUAAAAUAUAUAUAUUUUUAUUUUAUAAAAACUGACAAUUUUCAUCAUAUUACAAAUAUAGGUAUCAGCAAAAAUGGACAGUUUUCAAAAACUAUUUUAACAAUCCUUUCAAUACUUCUUUAAUACGCCUCACUUAUUAAAAACUAUUAGAAAUCGAUUAUUCCAAAAUAAAGAAUUAAUGGUACAUAAUUUGAAUUUAAUAAUCAAACAGGAACUAGAUGAGAAUUCAAUAAUAAAAUGUUAUUUUAUAUUAUGCAUUUAAAAACUUUAGAUUAGUCCGUCAUAACCUCUAAUAAAAUGGGAAAUUAUUCAAAUGUAUUUAACAUUGAAAGCAAUAGUUUAAUUAAAGUUUGCCCUAAGUUAACUAAACAAUAUUUUGAGUUGAAUAAUCUUUCGAAAAUGAAAGUAAAAUAUGCAGUUCAGGUUAGUACUUAGUAUAAUUUAUAUUAUUUAAUAGUACCUAUGCAUUAAAUUUACAUUUAUUAUUCUAAUAAAAAUAUGUUUAGAUCUUAAGUAAGUCAAUGGCUGUAGCUAUUGAAUUCUACAAGAAAAAAGGUUUUGAAUGCUUUAAUGGUUGUGAAGAAACAGUGAAAUUCACUAACUUUAUUAAUAAUAUGGUUGAUGCCUUAAAUAGAAAGUAUCCCAAAGAAGGCAUAAAAAAAAAAAAUAACACUGAUUUACAGGUUUUUUUAUGUGUUUGUGGUGCAUGUUUGUGUUAUAAGUUUUUAUUACACGCUCAAUUACCCCCUACUCCCGUGGAUUUGCCAUUGUGUUUUUAUGUAAUAAAUAUUUAAUUAGUUUCUACGAUAUAAAUGUUUGUAUUCUAUUAAAUUAAAUUUAGUUUUAUGUAUAUAAUAUUUUUGUGAUACAUAUAUGGUUUUAGAUUUUAAUACAGGCAGUUGAAUGGUUAGAUAAUUGGGAAACUAAUUUAAAAUUAGGAUUGAUUAAAGAAAAAAAAAAUUUUAACUCAGCCAACAUGUGAUGGAUUAAGAAUGACAUUAAAAUCAACCAUAGAUUUAGUCAAUUAUCUUUUGAAUAACUGUGGUUUUUCAUAUGUCUUAACAGCUAAAUUAUGUCAAGACAGUUUAGAAGUAUAUUUAAUUUACUAUUAAUCAUUAAUUUACAUUAUUUUUAUUUCAAACAUAACAUAUUUUUUUUGUUAGAAAUUUUUUGGUAUCCUGAAGCAAGUAUCUGGUCCUAAUGGCCAUCCUACUGUACCUACUUUUUACAGUUAUAUUGCAUGUUAUCGGUUUAUUAAAUUGUAAAACCUCCAAAAACUGGCAACUGUACUAUAUUACAAGUUAUUUCUUUAUCAGAUUUGAAAGAUAUCAUAAUGGAUCCAGAAAAUACCCCGUAAAGAGUGUUAAAAAUUAGAAAUUUAAAAAAUAAAAUCGAUAAAAUAGUUGAAGAUGAUUGCUGGGAUUUGGACGAUAUACUUUCGGAACAUGAUUAUGCUGACUCCACUGUCUUUGACUAUGUAGUUAAUUUUUUAGCUGGGUAUUAUGUAUUUGCAUUAUUAUUGAUAUUUAUGUAAUAUUAAUAAAAAUCUACAUCAAUGAAAUAGGUACAUAGCAAAACGGUUAGUGGCCACUCUAGGUGCAAUAAAGAAUUUAUUUUUCAAAGAAUGAAGAAAUUAAUUAAUUAAUAUCUAUAUUACCUUCCUAUAUAUUCGUCACUGAAUAGUGAAUUGCCUUCUUUACAAUUCCAUUAAAAAAUGUCAAUAUAACGGAAAAAAAUUAAAACGCAUUAUAGGUAUAAUACAUACCUGUUUUAUUUUAUUUUUUUAAUUUUCUACCAUAGAUAUGUUACCUACCUAAAAUAAAUUACCGUAAUACUUCUUAAACCGUAAAAAAACGCUUUGACCACGUAAAAUGUAUAACUAAUUUCACAUAUUAUACCUAAUGCUCACAAGUUUUUUUUUUUAUCCUAAAGAAUAUUAUAAUAAUAUUUCAUGUAAAUUAAUUAUUAUUAAUUAUAAACCUAAACGAACAUUCAAAAACAAAAUAUAAGUUAUGUAUGUUAAACUUGAUGCCUUAUGUACGUUUCUAUAAUAUUUGGGAAAAUUGUAUUUUAAACAUUUAUAAUUGUAUAAAUAGACUUUAUAUGUGUUCAAUAAUCAAAAUAGCUGUGUAUAUUUUAUGGUUAUUGUGAUUUCCAAAUAGAUGUAUUUUUUUUAAACUUUUUAUGCACAUGAAAAUAUUUGGGUGUCUACUGAAGCCUAAAAUAUACUCUGUUCACAGUAAGAAACUUAGACGGCGUGCUAACUUGUGCACAGGGGAGGGGCAAUACUACACGGCAGGUAUACAGAUUGAUGACUCGGUAGGGGUAACAAACGGGUGUUACCUGACUGCCACCGACGAAAACUGGUCGCCACCUUUUGCAUUUCUUAUUGUGAAUAUAGUUUAGCUGGUACAGUUAUUUUUCAUAAUUUAACGGAAACUAAUGAGUGCCUGUAUUUGUUAAUUUAUUCAUUAAGUAUAGUAUAACUUACCAGAAAUAGUAUUUAUUUAUAAAACUAAUAACUAUUUUGUGAUAUGCCUUAUUAUACAUUGAUCAUUUUAUUAACUAUAGGUACCUAACUAUUUAUAUUGACUUACUUUCCUAAUAAUAAAUAAUUAAGUACCUACUGAAGACAAUAAUAUUAUUUCAUACAUAAUAAGGUUGACAAACUUACUGCAAAAGAUACUUAUUUUGUAUUUUAGUGGGGGCCUUAUAUUAAUUGAAUCAUGUGCCCCUUAAAUCCGACCCUGCCUAUACCUGGUCUAUUGAUAAACCGUAUAAGCAGUUAUUCUAUAUAGUACAUAGGUCGUUAACCUAACUGUAUGAUCUUUUACGCCACAGGUUAUGUAGGUACUUGCAGGGCUGUAUUUGAACAUAUGGCGCCCAAGGGCAACAUAUUUUUCCGACCCCCAAAGAGUUAUUUAUUAAAAUGUAAGGUACCUAUUAUUUUGGGUCAUAAUUUAUGACUCAUAAAUAUGGUUAGAUUAUGAAAUUUUUUUUUGGAGACCUUUAUUUUUUAAUGAGUUAAGAACAAUCAGUGAUACAAACAGAAUUUGUCGGUCAAAAACUUAGUUUCAGAGUUAUACACGAGUUUACAAAUUCCCAUCCAUCGAGGUUUUUUUAAUUAUAUUUCUUUAUUAACAAUAUAAUAUACAGUAAGUAAAAUAAGAAAUUUCUGAGAAAUCUCCACCAAAUCACAAUACAUAAGGAAAAAACAUUUUAUAUAGGUAGUUUUAAAGUUAUAAAUAUGUUGGCUUAAUAAUAAAAAAAGUUCACGAAAAUUUAUUACCCACCAAGUUCCACCAGGAGUGGCAAUGGCCCACCCUGGUGCUCCCCUAAAUACAGGCCUGGGUACUUGUCCAAAACUCGACUACCGGGAUUCAAAUAAAAAAAUGUGGGUAAGUGGAUGUUGCUCUGCUGUACAGCAGGUUACAAGUGUGUCACUGUAUAAUGGAUGGUAUUAAUUUUGAAUUCAAUG
rnacentral:misc_RNA from 1 species